rnacentral:lncRNA from 1 species
UGGUCCUUGAGGUGUUUGUCAGUGUGGGCUAGCUUCCCCUGCUGUAUUUAUUUAUGUAUUGUCUUAAUUUUAUCAGAGUUUAAAAUGAAGACGGCUGCUAACCAUUGUGGACCAAAUGUCAUGCUACCACUAAACAAAAGACCCACUCAGUCUGUGUAAAAUCGUAUGUCUUUUUAAAGGUAUUUGGAGAUUCAUCUAAGCUUUAAAGAGGGCCAGGCAGCUUGAGCACCUGAGAUGCGGACAUAACUCUGGACCGGUUCUGUUGUGUCAGCUGCUCUAUGGCCUCUGAAGAGCAAUAGCU